ACGAGCAAACCACAGAGAGUUGAUAAAGCAGAGCUAAGAGAUUUUCUUCGUUGAUCAUUUUGUAGAGAGAAAAAUAAGGGGUUUUUUUCAAGUUUUUAUGCUGCAUAAUCCAUGGCUGAGAGGAGGUGAGAGGAGGAUGAUCGUGUGGGAGGCAAAGAGAAUCUGAAUGUUAAUGGAGAAUAAGCUGAGUUCAGGAUUGAGGAUUUUGCUGGAAAUCAAUUGAUUGAUUCCUUCUCUCUCUCUCUCUCUCUCUCUCUCUCUUUACUUGAACCCAGUAAUGGGUAAGCAACAAUCCUUGCGCAGCAAAGCAGUCCAUUUUGUCUCCGAUAUCACUACCGUUCUUCUUAACCCAAUCUCUGAUAAACCUUCCGCUACAGCCUCUGCUCAUCCUCAACAUCAUCAUUCACCUGAAAAUGCGACUGACCUUAAAGACGACAGUGAUCUAGGUUCAGCUAGUGAACAGGGUUCCGAAUUUUCGGAAGAUGGCCCUGAUACAUCUUCAUUUACUGCAUUCCUGUAUUCCCUUCUGUCGUCCUCAGAAUUGCAGGAAAACUUGAACUCUGAUGAAAGAAGUGAUAAUCAGGCAGAGGCAGGCACACCAAUGAUCAAUGCUGCAAAAGAAACUGUUAUGAAGAAAAGCUUGUUUUCUAGGGGGAAACAAUCCCUUGGUAGAGCUUUUCACCAUGCUGCAAGAAUCACUGGCUACCGAAAUCAGGAUCGGAAGAGUGAUGUUGAUUUGAAAGUUAAUGAUUCUAAAUUUUCUGGAAUUGAGAUGAUGGAAAAGACAAAUGUAAGUGAGGUUCCUUCGUCAGUUGUUGUCCCUGACGCAUCUGAACCUUCAGUGCUUCUUUCAGAAAAAGCUAGAACUGUUCUUUAUGCCUCCCUUCCAGCUCUUGUCCAGGGAAGGAAAUGGCUUUUGCUAUACAGUACGUGGAGGCAUGGGAUAUCUCUUUCAACUCUAUAUAGGAGAAGUAUGCUGUGGUCUGGAUUCAGUUUGCUGGUUGUUGGUGAUCAGAAGGGUGCUGUAUUUGGUGGCUUGGUGGAGGCACCGUUAAAACCGAGCAGCAAGAAAAAGUAUCAGGGAACCAAUAAUACUUUUGUUUUCACAAGUAUUCCUGGCCAUCCUGUGAUUUAUCGCCCCACAGGUGAAAAUUACUAUUUCACAUUGUGCUCGCCUGAUUUCUUGGCCAUUGGCGGCGGUAGCCAUUUUGCACUCUAUUUGGACAAUGACCUAUUAAAUGGAUCGAGCUCUACAUCAGAGACAUACGGAAAUCCUUGUCUUGCAAAUACUGAAGAAUUUGAAGUGAAGGAAGUUGAGUUGUGGGGCUUUGUAUACACCUCAAAGUAUGAAGAAAUGCUUGCUUUGAGCAGAACCGAAGCACCUGGGAUUUGUCGAUGGUGAUCGAUUUUUAAAUACAACCCAAACUGCAACUUUACUGAACGAAAUGAUAUCCUGUGGAGAUCUCAUGACCGUCUUGACAUGAUUAUACGAUGGGGAAGGCAGAUGAACUAAUUAGAAAGAUGAGAAGGUUGAAUGUGAAUGCCUUCUCCAUGCCUGUAUAUUUAAUUAACUUUUGUACAUAUAAAAAUGUAAUGGAGGACAUUGAGAGUGACUUGUCGUCUUGAUCUCCUGUUGUGCCUUAUUGGGUCGCAUCUUCUUGUUAGUAAUCACCAGUCUGGUCGCCAUAGCAUGUAGCUUUGUUAGGUGAAGAAAGAAACUUUUGUAAUUCAGUUAUUUGUACAUAAGCUUUUAGUGCUUGCAUUUCACACUAACAUUUUGUAAACUCCUCUACAUGUUAAUGAAGUAUUCUCUUUUUUAAGUU